rnacentral:rRNA from 1 species
UACGUAGGUGGCAAGCGUUGUCCGGAUUUAUUGGGUUUAAAGGGUGCGUAGGCGGUUCUUUAAGUCAGCGGUGAAAUACUACAGCUUAACUGUCGAGGUGCAAUUGAUACUGGUUGACUUGAGUACAGACGAGGUAGGCGGAAUUGACGGUGUAGCGGUGAAAUGCAUAGAUAUCGUCAAGAACACCGAUAGCGAAGGCAGCUUACUAGACUGUAACUGACGCUGAGGCACGAAAGCGUGGGGAUCAAACAGG